UUUCACACACAUCAACGCGACGACUUUUGCAAGAAAUUGAGCGCUUUCGGUCGUUAAAUUGAAAAAUGCACUCGUGGUCGUUGGUUAAACAACAAGCGUUAAUAUAUUACUAGUAAUGAUAUUGGCAUUAUAUUUGGCCCAGAUGUCAUUAAUAAUCCUGCCAACGCAAGGGAAAAAGAACUAGCCCGAAACUUUAGGCCCGCGAAGUUUAAACUGAAAAUUCACCUUUGUUUCUUGGCCACAGUACUAAAAAUUCCAUUUUUGAAACUAAAGAAAUUGAGACAUGGGACGAUUAGCCUAUAAAAGACAAGCCCCAAAAGGCUUUGUUCAGAAUAACUUCUUGAUCGCAAUGGAGAGCAAAGCCAAGAAAGAUACGAUUGAAGACGACUCCAAGCGCCGUGACCUUUUUGUAUUUGUAAGACAAACCAUGUGCAUAGCGGCCAUGUAUCCGUUUGGAUAUUACGUCAAGGGAUCUGGGAUCCUGGCCCAUCUGGUCCGAAUCUGCGACUUGCUCUACGAAUUCUUCAACUAUUUUGUAUCCGUGCAUAUCGCCGUUUUGUUCAUCUGUACCAUAUAUAUAAAUUACGGCCAGGGCGACCUGGACUUCUUCGUGAACUGUUUGAUUCAAACCAUCAUUUAUUUGUGGACCAUUGCAAUGAAGCUUUACUUCCGUCGGUUCAGGCCAGGAUUGCUGAAUGCGCUCUUGUCCAAAGUCAAUGACGAGUAUGAGCCACGUUCUGCUGUCGGAUUCAGCUAUGUCACAAUGGCGGAGUCUUAUCGGAUAUCCAAGCUGUGGAUCAAAACCUAUGUGUACUGUUGUUAUAUUGGCACGAUUUUCUGGCUGGCCCUUCCCAUAGCUUAUAGGGAUAAGAGUCUGCCGCUAGCCUGUUGGUAUCCCUUCGAUUACACGCAACCCAUUGUCUAUGAGGUAGUGUUUUUUCUUCAGGCGAUGGGACAGAUUCAAGUGGCGGCUUCCUUCGCCUCCUCGAGUGGUCUGCAUAUGGUGCUUUGUGUCCUUAUAUCAGGACAAUAUGAUGUGCUCUUUUGCAGUCUUAAGAAUGUGUUGGCCACGAGCUAUGUGCUAAUGGGAGCCAAUAUGGCAGAGCUAAGGCAAUUGCAAGCUGAGCAAUCUGUGUCUGAUGCCGAGCCCAGUCAAUAUGCAUAUUCUCUAGAGGAGCAGACUCCUCUUCGAGAACUUUUACAACCAACUGCAGAAUCCUCACGAGAUUUUGCCACAGCUUUCCGGCAGUCUUUCAUACACUGCAUUCAGCACCACCGUUAUAUAGUGGCGGCUUUGAAGAAAAUGGAGCGUUUCUACAGUCCUAUAUGGUUUGUGAAAAUCGGCGAAGUCACCUUCCUCAUGUGCCUGGUGGCUUUUGUCUCGACGAAGAGCACUUCGGCCAACUCUUUCAUGCGGAUGGUUUCCCUGGGACAGUACUUGCUCCUGGUACUGUACGAGCUCUUUAUCAUCUGUUAUUUUGCGGACAUCGUAUUCCAGAACAGUCAACGAUGUGGUGAGGCCCUUUGGCGAAGUCCGUGGCAACGACAUUUAAAGGAGGUUCGCAGGGAUUACCUUUUAUUCAUGCUGAAUUCCCGUCGGCAGUUUCAACUAACUGCUGGAAAAAUAACCAAUCUAAACGUGGAAAGAUUAAGAGGGACUAUUACCACAGCCUUUUCGUUUCUCACCUUGCUGCAAAAGAUGGAUGCACGAGGAUAGAAAAUAGCAAAGGCUUGUUUUUACCUUUCCUUUUCUCAUGUUCCUGCAAAAGAUGGAUUCACGAGGAUAGAGAAUAGCAUAGAUUUGUUUUUAGUAAAAGGGACUAUUACCACAGUCUUUUGUUUCUCACGUUGCUGCAAAAUAUGGAUUCACGAGGAUAGAAAAUAGCAUCGAUUUGAUUUUAGUAAGAGGUACUAUUACCACAGCCUUUUCGUUUCUCACCUUGCUGCAAAAGAUGGAUUCACGAGGAUAGAAAAUAACAUAGAUUUGUUUUUAGUACGAACUAUCGCCACAGCCUUUUUGUUUCUCACCUUGCUGCAAAAUAUGGAUUUACGAGAAUAUAAAAUAAGAGGGCCUUUUUGUUUCUCACCUUGCUGCAAAGGAUGGAUUCUCGAGGAUAGAAAACAGCAUAGAUUUGUUUUUAGUAAGAUUAUUUAAAUGAUAAUUUUAAAUAAAUUAUUAGAAAUGGGUAGCGCAUUUGAAUACCUAAGCAUUCAA